rnacentral:rRNA from 1 species
ACAGCGGAGAGUUUGAUCCUGGCUCAGGAUGAACGCUAGCGGCAGGCUUAACACAUGCAAGUCGAGGGGCAGCGGGAGGAAAGCUUGCUUUCCUUGCCGGCGACCGGCGCACGGGUGAG